GGGCAUACGGGGACCGAACCCCGCUCCGGCCGGGUCCCCUCGGGCAGCGCCGGGCCGUGGGGCUCCGGGGGGGUCCGUUCCUUUCGCUUUCAUACGGCUGCAGUCACCGAGCGGUGCCCGCGCUCCUCAGCACAACGCAGCUUUCCGGGGGAAUCGGCUCUGCGCGCAGCAGAUCAGAGCGGUGGAUAAGCUCACCGCCCUGCGCCGGGUGUAUGAUUUCAUCGACCUUCGGCAGCGCCUCGCCUCCAUGGAGACUGCACUCCUCGCUCCUGAGCCCCGCCGGGGUACUUCAGGGUUCGUGCUCCUGGAUCUCAGAAAGGCACAUCUGUACAGUGAAGGCAGAGCUUUGUCACUCAGCACAACAGAUGAUACGUGAAGAAGCAGCAUAGCUGAAUCAUAGAAUCAUAGAACAUCCCAAGUUGGAAGGGACGCAUAAGGAUCAUUGAGUCCAACUUGAUUUGAAUGGAGCUCUGAGGUCCCAAAGGCACGUUGCACCGUGGGACACGUGGGAGCUGGGAGAGAGGACUGCAAAGUGAAGACUCCAUUGGUGGCCACGGCCAUUUUGGGAGGAUGUGAGCACAGCCAGGUGGGACCUGUUGGAAAUGAGGGAAAACCAACCCAGUGUGGCGGGUUUGUGAGAAUGCGAGUGAGAGCACAGCAGCAUAAGGACUAUUAAUAGGAUUUACACAGAUUAGUAAACUAAUCUGUGCAUUUCAGAUUGGAUUUCUCAUUAUGGAGAAGAAAAUUAAUCCACAUAGCAUGCAGACUCGCCAGGCAGUGCAGUGAGAGUGUGAGGGUGAUGGCCGUGUAUCUCUGCUGGUGACUGAGCAUUGCACCGUGCCCUCCUGCACCCAGGCCAGCACUGAGAAUGGCUUGGGUUGGAAGGGACCUCAAAGACCAUCUAUUUCCAACCCCCCAGCUCAGUGACAUUUACCUUCAGGUCUCUGCUUGGGAGAAUGAAUGCUUUGGAGUGCUCAUGGAGCAGGGUUCGAAGCGUUCCCUGGCACAAAACAUGCGCUGAACGUUUCAUUUCCCACCACCGCUGGGGUUGGUCUCAUCUCCCUUAUCAGCAGUAACUCCACUGAGCACCAUUUGUCACCACUGGGAGCCAUUUGCUCGUGGUAAACUGAUUUAAGGACAGGCACAGGAUGCUGCAGGGAUCCUGCCUGCUUUGUCUGGGGCUGUGACUGAGAAUUUGCUUGAACUGCUUAAAAACAGAGUGAGCCUUAGGUUCGAAGAAGCACAUUUGCCUUUUGCUUUGUAUUUAUUAAAUGCAAUAUAC
rnacentral:lncRNA from 7 species